ACGGUGGCACAGAAUCGGAGGCCCCGACUGUUUACUAAAAACACAACACAGUGCAAUCAUUAAUAUGGUAGUAUACUGUGUGAAAUUUGCCCAAUGCCAUUAAUAUAAGAGAAGUUAUGGUCUCAAAAACUGUGACUAAUCGAAAANUGGUUAAUAGCGGNCUUAACUAUNNGGANCCUAAGGUAGCAAAAUCAGUUGGCCAUUAAAUGUGGUCCGGUAUCAAUAAUGUAACGAUG
rnacentral:rRNA from 1 species